rnacentral:rRNA from 1 species
UACGUAGGGUGCAAGCGUUGUCCGGAAUUAUUGGGCGUAAAGAGCUCGUAGGCGGUCUGUCGCGUCUGCUGUGAAAACUCGGGGCUUAACCCCGGGCCUGCAGUGGGUACGGGCAGACUAGAGUGCGGUAGGGGAGACUGGAAUUCCUGGUGUAGCGGUGAAAUGCGCAGAUAUCAGGAGGAACACCGGUGGCGAAGGCGGGUCUCUGGGCCGUACCUGACACUGAUGCGCGACAGCAUGGGGAGCAAACAGG